AUGGAAAUGAUGAUUCUUUCCCCAAAUGAACGACGCUGAUUAAAUUGAGCGAUUUUUUUCUCUUUUUGAGAAACCAAGCCAAGCGUUCUGAUCCAU